rnacentral:lncRNA from 1 species
GCUUUAACUAGAAGCAGUGUGAGAAUAUGUCAUAUUGGGAAGCAACACAGCACAGUCCUUAAGAAAAUGAGCUCUGGAUUCAAGACUGCCCGGGUCCAGAUCCUGGCUCCACUCCUCACUGUUUUGUACCUAGGCAGGUUGCUUACUAUGCUGUGCCUGUAAGAUACUAACAGCAUCUGCAGCAGAUGGGAUUGAGAUAAUAGAUAUAAUAUACUUGGGAUGGUGCUUAAUACAUGGUUAAGUACUCAAAAAAUAUCAGUAAUUAUGAAUAUUACUACCAACAUCUUGAUCUUCAAAAUUGCAUUUCUGGCUGUCUUUUGGGUCUCUCCUUUUGGAUAUUUCUCCAUCUCAACUUCCUGUAAGGAAGAAUAACCUUCCCAUCCAAAUCUAGCCCUCCUUUGAGCAUCCAUUUCUCUGCCAAAGUCACCACCAUUCACAUAACUGCCCAGUCUCAAGGCCUAGCCAUCACUGACUCUUCCUUUCCCUCAUCCUCCUUGUCAACAUCCCCCCCCAUACUUUCUGAGGGCAGCAGUACAGUAAGAGGUUAAGAACCCGGACCUUGAGGUCACAUUCCAAAUUCAAGUCUCUGCUUUACCACUUAGGGGCUAAACUCUAGAGAAAGUGACUUCACCUCUUUAAGUCUGUUUAUUCUUCUGUAAAAUGGGGGGAACAAAUUCUGCCUCACAAAGCUGCAGUGUGAAUUAAAUGAUAUAAUUCAUAUUAAGCACUCUGAACCAAAGCUGGGUGAGUGAGCCUUCAAUAAAAUGUUAGUAUACAGGGAAGAUAAUAGCUAAAACCCCAAAAAUGUCAGUAAUUAGUAAUAUUGUUCCAUUACCUUUGCCCUAUAUUUAUUUAUAGCUAAUUUAUCUUUGUCACAUCUAGACUAGGAUUAUUGUUUUAACUUCUCCCCAAUUCUGGUCUCUUUUCACUUCCAAUCUAAAAUAAAAGAUAUUCUCAGAGAAAAGUAAAUGAGAGCUCUGAUCUCAUCCCUUUCCACUGUAAAAACCCCUGUAGUUCCCCAACAGUAAAGUAUACACACUUCAGAAUGUCUAUGAAGUCCCUCUGCAAUUUGGGUUCUAGCUUUAACUUUCUUAAGAUAUACACACACCACACGCCACACACACACACAAUUUUUAUUUUUAUUUUUUUUGAGACAGGGUCUCACUCUGUUGCCCAGGCUGGAUGGAGUGCAGUGGUGUGAUCUCGGCUCACUGCAACCUCCACCUCCUGGUUCAAGCGAUUCUCCUGCCUUAGCCCCACAAGUAGCUAGGAUUACAGGUGUGCACCACCACAACUGGCUAAUUUUUUUAUUUUUAGUAGAGACGGGGUUUUGCCAUGUUGGCCAGGCUGGUCUCAAACUGCUAGCCUCAGGUGAUCCUCCCACUUUGGCUCCCAGAGUGCUGGGAUUACAGGAACAAGCAACAGUGCUCGGCCUCUAGCCUUAAUUUUCUAACUUAUGCAUUGUAUGUUCCAGUUUUACUGCUAAAAUGAACAUUAAUUUACUACUGAACAUAUUAUUUUGAUAAUUAUAUGUCCAUUAUGAUGUACAUUAAAAAAAUAAUAAAAUUAUAAAGUAAGUAAUAGUAUUAAGUGGUAUGUGGAAAUUAUAAAAUUGCAGAGAUCUAUGCAAAUGAUUAAAUUCGGGCCAAAAGUGGAUUAGAGGGAGAAUGGGGAAUAAUUGCUAAUGGGUACAGGGUUUCUUUUUUUUUUCAACAAUAUGUUUUGGAAUGAAAUAGUAGUGAUUCACAAUUCUGUGAAUAUAUUAAAAAUCACUAAAUUCUGCACUUUAAAAGGGUGAACUUUGUACUUACUAAACUAAAUGGAAAUAUCUGGGAAAAUUCAGAAUACGCUUAAAACAAACCGUUUUUACUUCUAACUUCUUACGAAAUGUAAGAAUGAUUAAAUCUGAAAAAUAAGUAAGGUCAUAGAAUAUUUCUUCUGGAAAUAUCUAUAUCCAUUCAGAUAUCGAGCCUAUAUGAAGGUGCUAAAGUUCUUUUGACUACUGCUAAAUUUUUAGAAACUAGCCAAAGAAUUUAGAUAUAGCUUCAGCUCUUGUGGCCUCUGGCAUUUUAUUUGUUGAAUAAUUCAAUUUCCACAUUGAAGCAAGUGAUUAGUUUUACAUUCCUACACUAAUUUCUUAGCUUAAAAAUGGCUUUAGUAGCUUAGACUGACUUCUUUGCUGAAAUGUCUUACUAGAACUUGGUGGAAAGCGGAACUACUAUACUAAUGAGUUAGCUAAGGGGACAAUAUUGUUAGAAAUUGAAUAUGGUAAUAGAAAUGAAACACGACAGCUGUGCAGGUUAAGUGAUUUUU